rnacentral:rRNA from 1 species
UAGGGAAUCUUCCACAAUGGGCGAAAGCCUGAUGGAGCAACGCCGCGUGUGUGAUGAAGGGUUUCGGCUCGUAAAGCUCUGUUGUUAAAGAAGAACACGUAUGAGAGUAACUGUUCAUACGUUGACGGUAUUUAACCAGAAAGUCACGGCUAACUACGUGCCAG